rnacentral:rRNA from 1 species
GGGGAAUAUUGCACAAUGGGCGAAAGCCUGAUGCAGCAACGCCGCGUGAAGGAUGAAGGCUUUCGGGUCGUAAACUUCUGUCCUUGGGGAAGAAAAAAAAUGACGGUACCCAUGGAGGAAGCCCCGGCUAACUACGUGCCAGCAGCCGCGGUAAUACGUAGGGGGCGAGCGUUAUCCGGAAUUAUUGGGCGUAAAGAGUGCGUAGGUGGUUACCUAAGCGCAGGGUUUAAGGCAAUGGCUCAACCAUUGUUCGCCUUGCGAACUGGGCUACUUGAGUGCAGGAGAGGAAAGCGGAAUUCCUAGUGUAGCGGUGAAAUGCGUAGAUAUUAGGAGGAACACCAGUGGCGAAGGCGGCUUUCUGGACUGUAACUGACACUGAGGCACGAAAGCGUGGGGAGCAAAC